AGAGUUUGAUCCUGGCUCAGGAUGAACGCUAGCUACAGGCUUAACACAUGCAAGUCGAGGGGCAGCAUGAGCUCAGUUAUUCUGGGUUUGAUGGCGACCGGCGCACGGGUGAGUAACGCGUAUCCAACCUGCCCUUUACGCGGGGAUAGCCUUCUGAAAGGAAGUUUAAUACCCGAUGAAUUCGUUUAGUCGCAUGGCUUGAUGAAUAAAGAUUAAUUGGUAAAGGAUGGGGAUGCGUCCCAUUAGCUUGUUGGCGGGGUAACGGCCCACCAAGGCGACGAUGGGUAGGGGUUCUGAGAGGAAGGUCCCCCACAUUGGAACUGAGACACGGUCCAAACUCCUACGGGAGGCAGCAGUGAGGAAUAUUGGUCAAUGGGCGCGAGCCUGAACCAGCCAAGUAGCGUGGAGGACGACGGCCCUACGGGUUGUAAACUCCUUUUAUAAGGGGAUAAAGUUGGCCAUGUAUGGCCAUUUGCAGGUACCUUAUGAAUAAGCAUCGGCUAAUUCCGUGCCAGCAGCCGCGGUAAUACGGAAGAUGCGAGCGUUAUCCGGAUUUAUUGGGUUUAAAGGGAGCGUAGGCGGGCAGUCAAGUCAGCGGUCAAAUGGCGCGGCUCAACCGCGUUCCGCCGUUGAAACUGGCAGCCUUGAGUAUGCACAGGGUACAUGGAAUUCGUGGUGUAGCGGUGAAAUGCUUAGAUAUCACGAGGAACUCCGAUCGCGCAGGCAUUGUACCGGGGCAUUACUGACGCUGAGGCUCGAAGGUGCGGGUAUCAAACAGGAUUAGAUACCCUGGUAGUCCGCACAGUAAACGAUGAA
rnacentral:rRNA from 1 species